CACGGUGAAUACGUUCCCGGGCCUUGUACACACCGCCCGUCACACCAUGGGAGUGGGUUGCAAAAGAAGUAGGUAGCUUAACCUUCGGGAGGGCGCUUACCACUUUGUGAUUCAUGACUGGGGUGAAGUCGUAACAAGGUAACCGUAGGGGAACCUGCGGUUGGAUCACCUCCUUA
rnacentral:rRNA from 1 species